GCACGCAGCGCGGAGCAUGGCGUCCCCGGGAGCUGGGGCAUGGGAGGCGGUUGUGGCGUGGGAUCUAGGGUGUCUGCAGCGGACUCGGCGGCCGUGUGAGGCGCUCGGCCCGCCGGACCCCGCCUGAAGCGGGUCGGUGUGGAAACCGAGCGCCGUUUGGAUGUAGAUCUUCGCCGUAGGCCCAGAACUGGGCGGGAAUAAAGCGAAGACCCAGGUCACACGGGUGUCCUUGAUGAUUUGGAAAUUUGAUCUACAGAAGCACGAGUGAUUUAAAUUUUCUAGGGGCCGUGUCAAAACUCCAUAGAUGAAUGCUCAUUUGUAACAAGACUAUGAAUAAAUGCUUCGAUGUGCUGUUCUGGUUGACUUCAGCUGAGACUGACAUAUUCUUUUGCUUAACAGGAAGGGACAACUAGCACAUUGGGGAUGUAUGGGCA
rnacentral:lncRNA from 1 species